UAGCUAGUUGGUAGGGUAAAGGCCUACCAAGGCGACGAUCGGUAGCUGGUCUGAGAGGAUGGCCAGCCACACUGGAACUGAGACACGGUCCAGACUCCUACGGGAGGCAGCAGUGGGGAAUAUUGGACAAUGGGGGCAACCCUGAUCCAGCAAUGCCGCGUGUGUGAAGAAGGCCUGAGGGUUGUAAAGCACUUUCAGUGGGGAGGAAAGGUGACAGAUUAAGAGUUAGUUACUAUGACGUUACCCACAGAAGAAGCACCGGCUAACUCCGUGCCAGCAGCCGCGGUAAUACGGAGGGUGCGAGCGUUAAUCGGAAUUACUGGGCGUAAAGAGUGCGUAGGUGGUUUAUUAAGUUAUCUGUAAAAUCCCCGGGCUUAACCUGGGAAGGUCAGAUAAUACUGAUAGACUCGAGUACGGGAGAGGGUAGUGGAAUUUCCGGUGUAGCGGUGAAAUGCGUAGAGAUCGGAAGGAACACCAGUGGCGAAGGCGGCUACCUGGCCUAUUACUGACACUGAGGCACGAAAGCGUGGGGAGCAAACAGGAUUAGAUACCCUGGUAGUCCACGCCGUAAACGAUGUCAACUAGCUGUUGGUUAUAUAGAUAUAAUUAGUGGCGC
rnacentral:rRNA from 1 species